rnacentral:rRNA from 1 species
UACGUAGGGUGCGAGCGUUGUCCGGAUUCAUUGGACGUAAAGCGCGUGUAGGCGGCCAGGUAGGUCCGAUGUGAAAUCUGGAGGCUCAACCUCCAGCGGUCAUUGGAAACCAUCUGGCUAGAGUCCGGAAGAGGAGAGUGGAAUUCCUGGUGUAGCGGUGAAAUGCGCAGAUAUCAGGAAGAACACCAAUGGCGAAGGCAGCUCUCUGGGACGGUACUGACGCUGAGACGCGAAAGCGUGGGGAGCGAACAGG